CUCCGUAGGUGAACCUGCGGAGGGAUCAUUAAGAAUACGGCCCCGCCUCCGGGCGGUCCGCCGGUUUCGUCCCAACCCUUUGUGAACCACAACUCUGUUGCUUCGGGGGCGACCCCGCCGUUUCGGCGGAGGUGCCCCCGGUGGCCCCAUCAAACUCUGCAUCUCUUGCGUCGGAGUCUUCAAAAGAAUUCAAACAAAACUUUCAACAACGGAUCUCUUGGUUCUGGCAUCGAUGAAGAACGCAGCGAAAUGCGAUAAGUAAUGUGAAUUGCAGAAUUCAGUGAAUCAUCGAAUCUUUGAACGCACAUUGCGCCCCGUGGUAUUCCGCGGGGCAUGCCUGUUCGAGCGUCAUUUCACCACUCAAGCCUCGCUUGGUAUUGGGCGUCGCGGCUCCGGCCGCGCGCCUCAAAGUCUCCGGCCGAGCAGUCCGUCUCCGAGCGUUGUGACAUUUUCGCUGGGGAGCACGGGUCUGCCGCGGCCGUUAAAUCCUUAUCAAAGGUUGACCUCGGAUCAGGUAGGGAUACCCGCUGAAC
rnacentral:rRNA from 1 species